CCCUAAGAUUUAAAAAGGUAUAUUUCUAAAUUACUUUUCUCUUUUAUAGGUGAAAGCUUUCGUUUCUUUUAAUGUUUAAUUUGGCUGUAGUGUUUGUUGUGCAAACAAGUAGGCAAGCUGUGUAGAACAACCACUAGAAAGUCAAAAGCAUGAAUUUCAAAACAAAGUUUACUUAUGAAAAUGUUAUACACUUUUCCAUUUGAAAAGGCUCAUUAGUCCUUUAUGAAUGUUAUUUAUUUAUUUAUUUUCUGUUUUAAUAAAUGCACUUUAUGGGAUUGUUAUUCAUUAGACAAAAGCAAAAAUUCAGGAGGAGUCCUUAAAUCUUGAUGCAAUAAAGACAGACUUGGCAGUAACACAUGACACGCUUAUAGAUUGGACCAAUGAAAUCCAGCAAUGGGCUGAUACAGGUAGGCAUGUUUUAGGUAACCAUAGCACUAUACUUAUUGUUUUAAACCUUUAAGUAACAACUUGCCUCACUGACUGUAGUGCUGUGUAUGAUUUUCUGUUUAUACCUAAAUAUAAGCUUCAUCCUUAUACCUCUGAUGUAAUAAUAAUGCACAUAUUUAUUUCUAUUGUAAAUGCAUUUCUUAUCAAUAAUUUAGCAACAAGUGAGGAGAACACAGACAGUCAGCAGGUGCUCCAGAAGACUAUUGAGACGCUUUAUGUGAGCAUCAGGCAGAGAAAGCAAGAUCUUUACCGUCAAUCAGAUGGGAACAAGAGAAGACACAAACUCCGAAGAAAGAUUUUGGAAGAAAAAGCCAAAUUUUGUGCAGCUGUAGAUGACUACAACAGGGCAGCAACUGAAAAACUGCAGUCAGCUGAUACAAUACUGGCAUCUGAGAGCUAUGCAUGGCCAUGGGUCCUUGAUGAACGUGAUAAUCUUGCAACCAAAAAAAAGGCCUUUGACCAACUGAUGCUGCUGAACCGGCUUACUGAAGAGGAGUGCAUUGUUCUGAAAGAAAUCCGGAAUCACUGGAAAAGCCUUACAAGGGAGCAUUCUCUUCUAAAUGAUCUUUUAAGUCAUGUUGCUGUUGAGAUAAAAGAGAACAGUAAGCAUUACAUACUUUUUUGUUUAUCUUGUUUAGACAAUAUUAACAAUAACAACAACAAUAAUAAUAUCAUGCUUUUUAACUGAACCUCUGUAAUUAGACAUAACUGCUGCUUUCAGCUGUUGAAUAAGCUUUUUGGAUUCAUUAAUUACUCCAGAAAAUUACAGCAGAACACCACUUCCUUAAAAUUACUGAAUUAUUUGAGUUUUUGUGCUACUUACAGAACAGGACUGUGGAAUUUCUGAAAAUGGAAUUCUUGGACUUCACUCUCUUCUGAAGAAAAGACUGUCUUACCUUAGAAGUCACAUCUCCUCUGUUCGUCAGCUGUACAGUAGUGUUCUUAAUUGUGAGGUGUUUGAAAAAAUGAAAGAUGAUGAUCUCAACAUGGAUGAGGAGGAUAUCCAGUAUGUUUUGGAGUAUGAAGAUGAU
ensembl:lncRNA